GACAGAGGGUGCAAACGUUGUUCGGAAUUACUGGGCGUAAAGCGCGUGUAGGCAGCUCGGAAAGUCGGAUGUGAAAUCUCCAAGCUCAACUUGGAAAUGGCAUUGGAAACUACCUUGCUGGAGGUUUGGAGGGGGGACUGGAAUACUUGGUGUAGCAGUGAAAUGCGUAGAUAUCAAGUGGAACACCAGUGGCGAAGGCGAGUCCCUGGACAACACCUGACACUGAGGCACGAAAGCUAGGGGAGCAAACAGG
rnacentral:rRNA from 1 species